GCGGGUGUGGCGGAAUUGGCAGACGCGCCAGACUUAGGAUCUGGUGGGAAACCGUGCAGGUUCGACCCCUGUCACCCGCACCA
rnacentral:tRNA from 1 species